rnacentral:rRNA from 1 species
CUGUCGUCAGCUCGUGUCGUGAGAUGUUGGGUUAAGUCCCGCAACGAGCGCAACCCUCGCCUUUAGUUGCCAUCACGUCUGGGUGGGCACUCUAAAGGAACUGCCGGUGACAAGCCGGAGGAAGGUGGGGAUGACGUCAAGUCCUCAUGGCCCUUAUGUCCUGGGCUACACACGUGCUACAAUGGCGGUGACAGUGGGAAGCCAGGUAGCGAUACCGAGCCGAUCUCAAAAAGCCGUCUCAGUUCGGAUUGCACUCUGCAACUCGAGUGCAUGAAGGUGGAAUCGCUAGUAAUCGCGGAUCAGCAUGCCGCGGUGAAUACGUUCCCGGGC